rnacentral:lncRNA from 1 species
GGAAGGACUCAUUCUGGGUGUUAACACAGCAGGGAACUGGAAGAAUCAGAACUGGAAGAAGAAGAAGUGAUUGGCAUGCUGACACGCUGCUGUAAGAAUUGCAGUGGGGAACAAUUACAUUGCUCAAAGAACACUUCACAAUUGGAGGGAAGAGAAUUAUGUCAGUGCUGAAGGAUUUCACAGCUGUACUCCAAAACAAACCUGGAAAUGUACAUUAUAGGUACUGGAAGCAAAAGAGUCUAUUAUUUUGUCUUCUUUUAGUUCCUCGAGGUGGUCCUGAUGGAAGCUGGAGAACCACUGUUAUACUGACUGUCAAUGAUGACGAUAAAGUUCCUGUCGUCAGCCUACUGAAGGAAGGGUCUUGGAAAGCAUUCAGGUCAUCAGCUGCUAUGCUAUGAACAUGCUCAGGCAACUCACAGAGAGGCCCUUGUCAUGGGAAACUGAGGCUGCCAGAAAGAAACCACCCAAGUGAGUUUGGCAGCAGAUUCUUCAGUCUCAGUCAAGCGUUGAGAUGACUGCAGCCUUGACAGACAGCACAACUGCAGCCUCGAGAGAAAGCCUGAGCCAGAGGCACCCAGCUAA